rnacentral:rRNA from 1 species
GUUAUAGGGUCAAGCGAACAAGUGCAUGUGGUGGAUGCCUUGGCGAUCACAGGCGAUGAAGGACGCGGUAGCCUGCGAAAAGCUACGGGGAGCUGGCAAACAAGCUUUGAUCCGUAGAUGUCCGAAUGGGGAAACCCGGCCCUUUUGGGUCAUCCUAGACUGAAUACAUAGGUCUAGUGAAGCGAACGCGGUGAACUGAAACAUCUAAGUAACCGCAGGAAAAGAAAUCAACCGAGAUUCCCAAAGUAGUGGCGAGCGAAAUGGGAUGAGCCUUGCACUCUUUAUUUGUAUUGUUAGCCGAACGCUCUGGAAAGUGCGGCCAUAGCAGGUGAUAGCCCUGUAGGCGAAAACAGUAUGAAAGAACUAGGUGUACGACAAGUAGGGCGGGACACGUGAAAUCCUGUCUGAAGAUGGGGGGACCAUCCUCCAAGGCUAAAUACUCGUGAUCGACCGAUAGUGAACCAGUACCGUGAGGGAAAGGCGAAAAGAACCCCGGGAGGGGAGUGAAAUAGAUCCUGAAACCGCAUGCAUACAAACAGUCGGAGCCUCUUUAUGGGGUGACGGCGUACCUUUUGUAUAAUGGGUCAGCGACUUACGUUCAGUAGCAAGCUUAACCGUAUAGGGCAGGCGUAGCGAAAGCGAGUCCGAAUAGGGCGUUCAGUUGCUGGGCGUAGACCCGAAACCAGGUGAUCUAUCCAUGGCCAGGAUGAAGGUGCGGUAACACGUACUGGAGGUCCGAACCCACUAACGUUGAAAAGUUAGGGGAUGAGCUGUGGAUAGGGGUGAAAGGCUAAACAAACCUGGAAAUAGCUGGUUCUCUCCGAAAACUAUUUAGGUAGUGCCUCGUGUCUCACCUUCGGGGGUAGAGCACUGUCAUGGUUGGGGGGUCUAUUGCAGAUUACCCCGCCAUAGCAAACUCCGAAUACCGAAGAGUGCAAUCACGGGAGACAGACAUCGGGUGCUAACGUCCGGUGUCAAGAGGGAAACAACCCAGACCGCCAGCUAAGGUCCCCAAAUAUGGCUAAGUGGGAAACGAAGUGGGAAGGCUAAAACAGUCAGGAGGUUGGCUUAGAAGCAGCCACCCUUUAAAGAAAGCGUAAUAGCUCACUGAUCGAGUCGUCCUGCGCGGAAGAUGUAACGGGGCUAAGCCAUAUACCGAAGCUGCGGAUGCGAGCUAGUCUCGCAUGGUAGGAGAGCGUUCCGUAAGCCUGCGAAGGUGCCUUGUAAAGGGUGCUGGAGGUAUCGGAAGUGCGAAUGC